rnacentral:rRNA from 1 species
GGGUGUAAAGGGGAGCGUAGACGGGCCGUGUAAGUCUUGAAGUGAAAGGCCCGGGGGCUCAACCCCCGGGGACUGCUUUUGAAACUAUGCAGCUAGAGUGUCGGAGAGGUAAGUGGAAUUCCCAGUGUAGCGGUGAAAUGCGUAGAUAUUGGGAGGAACACCAGUGGCGAAGGCGGCUUACUGGACGAUGACUGACGUUGAGGCUCGAAAGCGUGGGGAGCAAACAGGCUUAGAUACCCUGGUAGUCCACGCCGUAAACGAUGACUACUAGGUGUCGGGUGUCACAGACAUUCGGUGCCGCAGCAAACGCAAUAAGUAGUCCACCUGGGGAGUACGUUCGCAAGAAUGAAACUCAAAGGAAUUGACGGGGACCCGCACAAGCGGUGGAGCAUGUGGUUUAAUUCGAAGCAACGCGAAGAACCUUACCUGGUCUUGACAUCCCUAUGACCGACGAGUAAUGUCGUCUUUCCUUCGGGACAGAGGAGACAGGUGGUGCAUGGUUGUCGUCAGCUCGUGUCGUGAGAUGUUGGGUUAAGUCCCGCAACGAGCGCAACCCUUAUCUUCAGUAGCCAGCAUUUAAGGUGGGCACUCUGGAGAGACUGCCAGGGAUAACCUGGAGGAAGGUGGGGAUGACGUCAAAUCAUCAUGCCCCUUAUGACCAGGGCUACACACGUGCUACAAUGGCGUAAACAAAGGGAAGCAGAGCCGCGAGGCCGAGCAAAUCCCAAAAAUAACGUCUCAGUUCGGAUUGUAGUCUGCAACUCGACUACAUGAAGCUGGAAUCGCUAGUAAUCGCGAAUCAGCAUGUCGCGGUGAAUACGUUCCCGGGUCUUGCACUCACCGCCCGUCA